AACCUCCGCAAUGUGAGAAAUCGCGACGGGGGGAUCCCAAGUGCCAUUCUUAACGGGAUGGCUUUUCAUUAGUGUAAAGAGCUUUUGGAAUAAGAGCUGGGCAAGACCGGUGCCAGCCGCCGCGGUAACACCGGCAGCUCUAGUGGUAACAAUUUUUAUUGGGCCUAAAGCGUCCGUAGCCGGUUUAAUAAGUCUCUGGUGAAAUCCUGUAGCUUAACUGUGGGAAUUGCUGGAGAUACUAUUAGACUUGGGACCGGGAGAGGUUAGAGGUACUCCCAGGGUAGAGGUGAAAUUCUGUAAUCCUGGGAGGACCGCCUGUUGCGAAGGCGUCUAACUGGAACGGUUCUGACGGUGAGGGACGAAAGUUAGGGGCGCGAACCGGAUUAGAUACCCGGGUAGUCCUAACUGUAAACGAUGCGGACUUGGUGUUGGGUGGCUUUGAGCUGCUCCAGUGCCGAAGGGAAGCUGUUAAGUCCGCCGCCUGGGAAGUACGGUCGCAAGACUGAAACUUAAAGGAAUU
rnacentral:rRNA from 1 species